UUCGGUGGUCAUAGCGUUAGGGAAACGCCCGGUCACAUUCCGAACCCGGAAGCUAAGCCUUUCAGCGCCGAUGGUACUGCAGGGGGGACCCUGUGGGAGAGUAGGACACCGCCGAACAA
rnacentral:rRNA from 1 species